UGUCGCCGUGACGACUGUUGUGUGACGGUCAGCUUUGCGGGGUGGGCAGUCAGCCUCCGUGUGGCCGCUGUGCAAACCCAUGCAAAACUGAGCGCUGCGCUACGCUACACUGAUGCUACGC
rnacentral:pre_miRNA from 8 species